CUAUACAUGCAAGUCGAGCGAACAGAUAAGGAGCUUGCUCCUUUGACGUUAGCGGCGGACGGGUGAGUAACACGUGGAUAACCUACCUAUAAGACUGGGAUAACUUCGGGAAACCGGAGCUAAUACCGGAUAACAUAUUGAACCGCAUGGUUCAAUAGUGAAAGGCGGCUUUGCUGUCACUUAUAGAUGGAUCCGCGCCGUAUUAGCUAGUUGGUAAGGUAACGGCUUACCAAGGCAACGAUACGUAGCCGACCUGAGAGGGUGAUCGGCCACACUGGAACUGAGACACGGUCCAGACUCCUACGGGAGGCAGCAGUAGGGAAUCUUCCGCAAUGGGCGAAAGCCUGACGGAGCAACGCCGCGUGAGUGAUGAAGGUCUUCGGAUCGUAAAACUCUGUUAUCAGGGAAGAACAAAUGUGUAAGUAACUGUGCACAUCUUGACGGUACCUGAUCAGAAAGCCACGGCUAACUACGUGCCAGCAGCCGCGGUAAUACGUAGGUGGCAAGCGUUAUCCGGAAUUAUUGGGCGUAAAGCGCGCGUAGGCGGUUUUUUAAGUCUGAUGUGAAAGCCCACGGCUCAACCGUGGAGGGUCAUUGGAAACUGGAAAACUUGAGUGCAGAAGAGGAAAGUGGAAUUCCAUGUGUAGCGGUGAAAUGCGCAGAGAUAUGGAGGAACACCAGUGGCGAAGGCGACUUUCUGGUCUGUAACUGACGCUGAUGUGCGAAAGCGU
rnacentral:rRNA from 1 species